rnacentral:tRNA from 8 species
GCGCCUGUAGCUCAGAUGGAUAGAGCAUCAGCCUCCGGAGCUGAGGGUCGGAGGUUCGAAUCCUCUCAGGCGCGCCA